rnacentral:ncRNA from 1 species
GAUAACAGGCCAGACAGCAUUGGGAGUUCUGAUCCUCGAUUUUGUAUCAGUACCUCCAUGACGGCUCAUUACUCCCUUGGUAUUGAACAAGAUUCAGUUAGGAACGAUAGUUCACCUUCAGAUGUAAUACGCGAGCUGGUUUAAGAACGUUUGGAGACAGUUU